rnacentral:rRNA from 1 species
UACAGAGGGGGCAAGCGUUGUUCGGAAUUACUGGGCGUAAAGCGCACGCAGGCGGUCUUUUAAGUUUGACGUGAAAGCUCCCGGCUUAACUGGGAGAGGUCGUUGAAGACUGGAAGACUUGAGGCAAUGAGAGGGGUGUAGAAUUCCCGGUGUAGUGGUGGAAUGCGUAGAUAUCGGGGGGAAUACCAGUGGCGAAAGCGGCACCCUAGCGUUAGCCUGACGCUCAUGUGCGAAAGCGUGGGGAGCGAACAGG